GUGAGGAAUAUUGGUCAAUGGGCGAGAGCCUGAACCAGCCAAGUCGCGUGAAGGAUGAAGGUUUUAUGAAUUGUAAACUUCUUUUGCAGGGGAAUAAAGUACGGUACGUGUACCGUUUUGUAUGUACUCUGCGAAUAAGGAUCGGCUAACUCCGUGCCAGCAGCCGCGGUAAUACGGAGGAUCCAAGCGUCAUCCGGAUUUAUUGGGUUUAAAGGGUGCGCAGGCGGGUUGAUAAGUCAGCGGUGAAAGUUUGCAGCUUAACUGUAAAAUUGCCGUUGAAACUGUCGAUCUUGAGUGCAAAUGAGGUAAGCGGAAUGUGUUGUGUAGCGGUGAAAUGCUUAGAUAUAACACAGAACACCGAUUGCGAAGGCAGCUUACUGGGAUGCAACUGACGCUCAUGCACGAAAGCGUGGGGAUCAAACAGGAUUAGAAACCCUGGUAGUCC
rnacentral:rRNA from 1 species